UAAAGGGCCACAGAGCUAUAACAGGGUGAGUAGCUCAGGUGGUCUAUGCAUAUUAUUGUCGUAUCUUUGACAUUUAUCGCAUUUAGACAUGAAACUGUCUGCUUCCUCUUCCAUCUUAGGCCAAUAAUACCCUGCUCGAUUUAAUAUUUUUUCCAGUGACCUUCCUCCUGUGUGAUUUUCGCAAUGUCCUUCAUGCAUUUCCCUCAUCACAUAUUAUGUUUGGGAUGGUCCGAGACACCUUGCUAAUGGUCCACCGAACAUCUUUCGAUAAAGAUUUCCUUGAUAUAACGAGCAGCUUUUUUGCAAAGUGCAUGAGCCUUUCUUUUGUCAUCAGGCACGAUUCCAUACUGUAAAAAAAGAAAUAAUUUCGUUUCUCC
rnacentral:lncRNA from 1 species